ACACAUGCAAGUCGAGGGGUAUGGUUCUUCGGAACCAGAGACCGGCGCACGGGUGCGUAACGCGUAUGCAAUCUGCCUUUCACAGAGGGAUAGCCCAGAGAAAUUUGGAUUAAUACCUCAUAGUAUAGCGACAUCGCAUGAUGAUGCUAUUAAAGUCACAACGGUGAAAGAUGAGCAUGCGUCCCAUUAGCUAGUUGGUAAGGUAACGGCUUACCAAGGCAACGAUGGGUAGGGGUCCUGAGAGGGAGAUCCCCCACACUGGUACUGAGACACGGACCAGACUCCUACGGGAGGCAGCAGUGAGGAAUAUUGGUCAAUGGGCGCAAGCCUGAACCAGCCAUGCCGCGUGCAGGAUGACGGUCCUAUGGAUUGUAAACUGCUUUUGCACAGGAAGAAACACUGAUUCGUGAAUCAGCUUGACGGUACUGUGAGAAUAAGGAUCGGCUAACUCCGUGCCAGCAGCCGCGGUAAUACGGAGGAUCCAAGCGUUAUCCGGAAUCAUUGGGUUUAAAGGGUCCGUAGGCGGUCUGGUAAGUCAGUGGUGAAAGCCCAUCGCUCAACGGUGGAACGGCCAUUGAUACUGCUGGACUUGAAUUAUUAGGAAGUAACUAGAAUAUGUAGUGUAGCGGUGAAAUGCUUAGAGAUUACAUGGAAUACCAAUUGCGAAGGCAGGUUACUACUAAUGGAUUGACGCUGAUGGACGAAAGCGUGGGUAGCGAACAGGAUUAGAUACCCUGGUAGUCCACGCCGUAAACGAUGGAUACUAGCUGUUGGAAGCAAUUUCAGUGGCUAAGCGAAAGUGAUAAGUAUCCCACCU
rnacentral:rRNA from 1 species